GAAAAGAAUCCCAGUUCAAAAAGUCCUUCUGUAGAUACCAAAGUUGUGUUAUCUCUCAUAAAUUCUGAAGGUCUAAUGGUAGCAAGCGAAGCUAACGUUGUUCUACAUAGAGAAAGUCUCAAAACAACAAAGGCAUCUUCCUGGAAAAUCACAGUCAGACUCAGGCAUGGAAAAAUGCAUGUGGUAGUGAACGCUCUUAACCCCACAUUUGACUCAAUGGUAAUGGCAGAGACCUAAUGGUAUUGGGGCUAGUUUCCAGUUGGUCACACUGUUGGAGUGGCACACUGCUUUCUGUUCCAAGAUCGUCUUUACAGCUUCAAUGGCACUAACAAGCCUGACCCAACAAUGGACCCAAUGUUGGUGAAAGAGUUGAAGCCAAAGUGUUGAUGCAGAAAACAUCAUAAUACUUGUUGGUUCAGCUCACACUUAACUCAUGCCACUCUUGUUCUUGCACGUGUCUUGACAUUGGUUUAGUCUGUUAAGCCAGUUAGUUUCAGUUUCUUGGUUUUAGUUGAGUCUGUCAUUCUGUUGUGUUCUGAUUGGUCCCAUGUGUCUAUUUAAGUGUAUCUGUUUCAUUGUAAUAAAAAGUGUGACAUAAGUGAGAUCAUUGUAAUACUAAGAAAUAGACUCUCUGCAUUGGAGAGUUGAACCUCUAUUUGGUGUUGUUUACUCUUUUGUUUGAUUAUGUUUUGGUAUA